AUGGAUGCCACAACGGCCAAGCAGCUCAGGCGGCUCCGCACGCUCGGCCGCGGCGCGUCCGGCGCCGUCGUCUGGCUCGCCUCCGACGACGCCUCCGGCGAGCUUCUCGCGGUCAAGUCGGCCGGCGCCGGCGCGGCCGAGACGCUGCGGCGCGAGGGCCGCGUCAUGGCCGGGCUCUGCUCCCCGCACAUCGUCCCGUGCCUCGGCUCCCGCGCCGCACCCGGCGGCGAGUACCAGCUCUUCCUCGAGUUCGCGCCGCGCGGCUCGCUCGCCGACGAGGCUGCCAGGAGCGGCGGGAGCCUCGCGGAGCGCGCCAUCCAGGGGUACGCGGGGGACGUGGCCAGGGGGCUUGCCUACCUCCACGGGAACUCGCUGGUGCACGGGGACGUCAAGGCUAGGAACGUCAUGCUCGGCGGCGACGGCCGAGCCAAGCUCGCGGACUUCGGAUGCGCGAGGGCGGCGGAUUCCGACCGGACGAUCGGCGGCACUCCGGCGUUCAUGGCGCCGGAGGUGGCGCGCGGGGAGGAGCAGGGCCUGGCGGCCGACGUGUGGGCGCUCGGCUGCACCGUCAUCGAGAUGGCCACCGGCCGCGCCCCGUGGGGCGACAUGGACGACGUCUUCGCGGCGGUCCACCGGAUCGGAUACACGGACGCCGUGCCCGAGCUGCCAGCGUCGCUGUCGCCGCAGGCCAAGGACUUCCUGUGCAAGUGCUUGGCAAGAAACCCCCGCCACCGGUCCACCGCCGCGCAGCUCCUAGAGCACCCGUUCCUCGCGUCCGCCUUCCGCGACGUCGACGCGGAACCGGCGAAGCAGGAUUGGAUGUCCCCCAAGAGCACACUCAACGCGGAAUUCUGGGAGUCGGACGAGGAAAGCGAAACAGAGGACAUGCUGACGAGCGCGGCCGAGAGGAUCGCCUCGUUGGCGAGCCCUUGCUCGGCCUUGCCAGACUGGGAGUCCGACGAUGGCUGGAUCGACGUGCACGGCGAACGCCCUGAAGCUUCAGAAACAACGUCGGCCACG
rnacentral:rRNA from 1 species